CUUGAAACACGGACCAAGGAGUUUAUCGUGUACGCAAGUCAUUGGGUGAAUAAAACCCAAAGGCGAAAUAAAAGUAAAGAGUUGAGUUUAUGAAAAAGAAUUUAUUUCUUUUUUCAUUUCUCUCUUAAGGGAAGAUGAAAAUUUGAUUAAUAAUAUAUUUAUAUAUUGUUAAUUUAAAUUUUUCGCACUCCCAGGGCGCUUGUUUCACGCUUUGCGUGUCAAUGCGCACCUAGAGCGUACACGCUGAUACCCGAAAGAUGGUGAACUAUGCCUGGCCAGGACGAAGCCAGGGGAAACCCUGGUGGAGGUCCGCAGCGAUUCUGACGUGCAAAUCGAUCGUCGGAGCUGGGUAUAGGGGCGAAAGACCAAUCGAACCAUCUAGUAGCUGGUUCCCUCUGAAGUUUCCCUCAGGAUA
rnacentral:rRNA from 1 species